UACAGAGGUCUCAAGCGUUGUUCGGAUUCAUUGGGCGUAAAGCGCGCGUAGGUGGCCCGGUAAGUCCGCUCUGAAAGUCACAGGCUCAACCUGUGAAAGCGGGUGGAUACUGCCGGGCUAGAGUCCGGAAGAGGCGAGUGGAAUUCCUGGUGUAGCGGUGGAAUGCGCAGAUAUCAGGAGGAACACCAACGGCGAAGGCAGCUCGCUGGGACGGUACUGACACUGAGGCGCGAAAGCGUGGGGAGCGAACAGG
rnacentral:rRNA from 1 species